GCAAUUAUCUAAUAAAAGGUUAAUUACUUGAUCAUACUAUAGAAAUCAGUUUACCUAUUUAUCACUAAAAUGAGACCAACAGAGCUGAGUUGUCUCCAUUUUCAACCUGUUCUGAACCAUUCUUCACUCGAGCAGGUAUCUGGCUGUCCUGGGACAGGGCGACUUCUGUCAAGUACAUAGGGAACAUUGCAAAAACAGAGCAAACGUUCCAGAACAUACAGGGAGGUUGAAACCUAGUUUUGGAGCUUUCUCACAGAAAGCUCCUUUCACAGUCAACCCCAAGGCACUUCUGAUCUUGUAGUUACCUAGGGGCCCACCGGUCACCAGGCCUGACACAUAAAUUUAAUGUUCAUUUAGUCUUACAUAUCUUUCUGAAAAUACAGACUGUUUUCUAACACUGCAAUGAAAAGCCUCAAAAGGAGUCAAAUGGCAAAGACCCUACGAACUGAUAAGUCUGCACAUUUCUACCUGGGGUCACAGAAACACACUUUGUUCUGAACUGGCGGAUCUUCAGGCCUUCUGGGGAAGCAGAGGAGCCUGAAGGAAAGACCAAGACCUUCCAUCAAAAAGAAAAGUCGAAUUCAAAUAACACCAAAGGAAAGGAGUCAGGAACUACUGUGGCUCAAGAAUGAUGCUUUAAACAAUUUUCCUUCUUUUGGCCAAGUUCCCAUUCUUGUUACUGCUGUUUUCAAGUGUAAUGAGCCCUGGUUUGCUUCUAACCAACAGAAAAUGGCAAAGGUGACAGGAUCCAUGACUACAUUAUGUAAGAUUACAAGGUCCACCUUGCGGACUCUCUGUCACUGGCUUUGAGCAAACAACCAGUUACUCUGGCAAGGCUUAUGCGACCAAGAGGGCGGCCUCUUGCUGACAGCCCACUAAACCGAGGUCCUCAGUACAAGGGCCCGCAGAGAACAGAAAGCUGCUCCCAACCACAGGAGUGAGGAAGGAGACCUUUCCCCAAUACAGCCUCAGAUGAGACUACAGCCGUGACAGCCUUACAAAGGACCCAAUGCUGAGAUAUUAAACGUGUUGUAUUUUUAAGCUGCAAAGUUUUUGGUAAUAUUAAUAUACAAAAAUAAAUCACAAAUAUAGAUCUCAGGAUACAUUUUUUUACUUUAAAACAUUUUUAUUAUAAACGUAAUAGCAACAAAGAAANNNNNNNNNNNNNNNNNNNNNNNNNNNNNNNNNNNNNNNNNNNNNNNNNNNNNNNNNNNNNNNNNNNNNNNNNNNNNNNNNNNNNNNNNNNNNNNNNNNUGAUUUGCAUUUCUCUAAUAAUGAGUGAUGUUGAGCAUCUUUUCAUGUGCCUUUUCAUGUGCCUCUAAUGUGGACAGAGUUUCAGUUUAGGAAGGUGGAGAUGGAUGAUGGGUGAUGGUGAGAGUUACAUAACAGUAUGAAUGUACCCAGUACCACUGAACUGAACAGUUAAGAUGUAUGUUAAUAUUUUAUCCAGUCUUCAUCUCUUUUGAAUAUGUGUAUAUUUCAUUUAUAUUUAAUAUGAUGAUUUUUUUACUUUAAAACAUUUUUAUUAUAAAAGUAGUACAAAUAAAGAAAAACUAAAAUCUUAAAGAAAGACAAAGUCAUCCAUUUACUGUCCUGCUCUCCUAUUAUAAACACAGUUAGGAAUUUAUUUUUGCCCUCUUUUGGUGUGUUAUUUACAGCCAUAAUCAUACAUACUCAUACACUUUUGUAUCUUGCUUUUUUUUCUUUUUACUAAGUAUUUUCUCAUGUUUUACAGUACAUUCAUUACUAAUUUUUAAUGGUAACAUAACACACCAUUCAUUAGCUAUAUAUGUUUAUUGACUAUUUCCCCAGAGUGGGAGUUGGCAAACUAUGGCCCUGCAUUUGUAAAUAAGGUUUUAUUGGAAUAUAGCCAUAUCCAUUCAUUUAUAUACUGUCCACAAUUAUUUCUGUCCUACAAACAGCAUAGUUGAGAAGUUGUGAGAAAAUCUAUAUGGCCUGAAAAACCUAAAGUAGUUCCUUUCUGGCACUUUCCAGAGAAUUUUGCUGACUCUUGCCUUCAACUUUUAAAAACACCUUUCUAGACAACAAUUAAUUAAGAAGUAUUAACAAAAGUAGGAAAACUGGGCCUACUUAAGAAAUGUUUUUAAGGUUCACAGU
rnacentral:lncRNA from 1 species